rnacentral:rRNA from 1 species
GAUGAACGCUGGCGGCGUGCCUAAUACAUGCAAGUCGAGCGAAUGGAUUAAGAGCUUGCUCUUAUGAAGUUAGCGGCGGACGGGUGAGUAACACGUGGGUAACCUGCCCAUAAGACUGGGAUAACUCCGGGAAACCGGGGCUAAUACCGGAUAACAUUUUGAACCGCAUGGUUCGAAAUUGAAAGGCGGCUUCGGCUGUCACUUAUGGAUGGACCCGCGUCGCAUUAGCUAGUUGGUGAGGUAACGGGUCACCAAGGCAACGAUGCGUAGCCGACCUGAGAGGGUGAUCGGCCACACUGGGACUGAGACACGGCCCAGACUCCUGCGGGAGGCAGCAGUAGGGAAUCUUCCGCAAUGGACGAAAGUCUGACGGAGCAACGCCGCGUGAGUGAUGAAAGCUUUCGGGUCGUAAAACUCUGUUGUUAGGGAAGAACAAGUGCUAGUUGAAUAAGCUGGCACCUUGACGGUACCUAACCAGAAAGCCACGGCUAACUACGUGCCAGCCGCCGCAGUAA